rnacentral:lncRNA from 12 species
AGUACUUUCCCUUUUGGAAGGGAUGCUUGAGGUGGGAAUGUUCGAGGUCAGGAUGGCUGGGGAAUGGAUGCUCAGGGUGGGAAUACUCAAGACUGUGGAUGCUGGGGGUUGGGGUGCUCAGGGAGAGGAUUCCUGGGAUCAGGAAUGCCCAGCAAAGGGAUGUCUGAAGCAGGAAUGCUCAAUGAAGGCUUGGGGUUGGAAUGUUUGGAGGGAGGGAUACUUGGAGUGAAGAUCUUGGGGUCAGAACAUGCGGGGCAGGAACAUCUGGAGCAGGAACAUGAAGCAGGGACACUUGGGGCAGGGACACAGAGCAGAGACACUCAGGACAGGGACAUGGAACAGGGACAAGCAGGGACACAGAGCAGGGACAGUCAGAGCAGGGACACAGAGCAGGGACAUGGAGCAGGGACAUGGAGCAGGGACACUCAGGCCAGGGACACAGAGCAGGGACACACAGAGAAGGAACACUCGGGGCAGGAACACUCAGGGCAGGGACACAAAGUAGGGACACGGAGCAGGGACACGGAGCAGGGACACAGAGCAGGAACACUCAGGGCGGGGAAACAGAGCCGGGACACUCAGGGCAGGGACACUCAGGGGCAGGGACACAAGAGACACUCAGGACAGGGACAUGGAACAGGGACAAGCAGGGACACAGAGCAGGGACAGUCAGAGCAGGAACACUCGGGGCAGGGACACUCAGGGCAAGGACACAGAGCAGGGACACGGAGUAGGGACACUCGGGGCAGGGACACUCAGGGCAGGGACACUCAGGGCAGGGACACAGAGCAGGGACACGGCAGGGACACUCGGGGACGCUCAGCACCACGGACAGGCGAGCGCUGCCCCAGAGCCGCUCCCAGCGGAGCUCCCUCCCGCUGCAGCAGUUUUUGGGAAGCCGCAGCCGCGGCCAAGCCACGGGUGCGUUCCCCCCACGCUGCUCUGCCCAGUCGGGAGCCGCCAGCUGGCGCGGGCACGGGAAAGGCUUGGCACGGCACGGAGCCCCGGCACGGAGAGGGCUGAGCUCUUGAAAGGGAAAAGAAGGAGGGAGAAAAAAAAAACAAAAAAACAAAAAAACCCCACGGGACUAUUUUUGUUUCAACACAGCUGGCUCCACUCGUGCCGGCUCCCAGAUUGGCACCGGGGCCGGCUUGGCAAGGCUGAAUCACCGUGCCUGCUCCGUCUGGGGAAGGGAAAGGAGGGAUGGGGAGGAAGGGAAAGAGGAAGGGGAGAAAGGGAAGAGGAAGGAGGGGAAGAAGGGAAAGAGGAAGGGGAAGAGGCAGAGGAAGGGAAAGAGGAAGGAGAACAGGAAAGUGGAAGAAGAAUAAGAGGAAGGAGAUUAAAGCAAAGAGGAAGGAGAUAAGGGAAAGGAGAAGGAGAAAGGCAAGGUGAAGGAUAAAGGAAAGAAGGGGAUGGGGAAAAAGAGGAUAGGGAAGGAGAAUAAGGGAAUUAAGAGAAAUGGGGAGAAAGGUGAAAAAGGGAAGAAAGGGGGAAAAGCAAUGGAAGAAAAGGGGUGGGCAAAGAGGGGAAGCAGGGAUAGAAAAGGAGGAUGGGGAUGGGGAGGAAGGGAAACAAGGGGAAGAACGGAAAAGGGACAGGCAGGAAGGGGAUAGGGGUGCAGAAGGAAGAGGACCCACAUGGGAAGGAAGUGGAAGCGCAUGUUCCAUGUGGGAAAGGCCUCUCCUUACCCCUCACCCGGCCCAGCUGCAUUUCCCAUCCCACUGCAGCCCAAUUUUCCAGCCCCACUGUCAGCAUUCCCCACAGGACCAGGCUCCAUCCCUUCCCACCACUCCAGCCCCCACAACCCCCGUGCACUGCAAACCGAGGGGAGGAAAGCCAGAUUUUGAGGAGCAAGGAGGAAAGGUUUUCCACAGCCGUGCACUGACCAAACUGCACCUCAGUUUUUGAGGUUUUGCCCCCCACUAUGAACAGAGGAGGUCUUUUUGAGGUUUUGCCCCCCACUAUGAACAGAGGGGGUCCCCAGGUACAAAUCAGGGAUGUGCCAGCCAGCAGCCACGGGUGCUUGGCUCCCCUCCAGCUCAUCUCCAUCCCCUCAUACCUGGGAGAUGCUGCCGCGCCCCCCCUCCCCGGGACGUGGGGCUCCUCACGCCGCCGCACAGCCCGACCUUCAGCAGAGGAGGAGGAGGAGGAGAAGAACCGUGUGUGCUGCCGCCUCCCACCCGGCAAGCACGGGCAAGUCGGCGGCGCGACGGCCGGCGGGCAGGAGCCGGGAGAUGAGUGGGAGCCGGGCCCUGCCCCAGCUGGGAGCAGGGAAAACGCCGCCCCUGCCAAACCCGCAGCUGGUUUCGCCGCCACGACCCGUUUCCCGUGGGGAAAAGCAUCUCGUGGCAGGUGGGAGACGGGACCCCUUUGGAUGAAAUCCCUUUCCCAAAGCUGGAGGAAGGUGCACGGCGAGGAAAACGUGCUGGCAGCACGGAUGCUGGCUCGGCGUCAGCAAACUGCAGCGCCCUGUACAAAGAAGUCCCUUUUUCUACCCAAAAAUUUCAAGCUCGCCCGCUGUCCUACCGCCUCCCCGGGGGCCGGGGCCGCUGAGUCAGCACCGGCACUGCUGAGUCACCAGAGCCACCUCAGCCGAUGAGCUCAGCGCGGGGGUUUGGCAUCUCCACGCCCCCCGCCACUGCCGGGCCCCCAGGAGGCUUUUGCCAGCACCUCUGCCAACAUUUUAGGGUCUCACCAGCUUUUUCUCACCCAUCCCCAAAACCACACCGACCGGCAUUGCCUUAAAUCCGACACGACAGAAACUAAAUCAACAACGGGUGAGGGAAGCCGGGGAAGCCAGUGACGUUUCAACUCUUCCCACCCUCCAACCAGCGCCGUGGUCCUCUCCACUAACACCUCACCACAGACCACCCACGAGCCGCGAUGGCAGCCACCGCCGCCACCCACACCCUCCCCGUCCCCACCGCCGCCACCCACACCCUCCCCGUCCUGCUCGCCAAAAGUGGAAAUGGCAAUGGUGAAAGAACAGAAAAACAAAGUCUGGUUUUGCUUUUUUUCCCUCCCCCCUCCCCUCGCUGGGGUCAGCAGCUCCACGGGGGAAAGCGCCGACACCGCCCCCGGCUUCCCCGGCCCCGGUGCCGGUGACGGGGUUGAUGACUCACGGGGAAGGAGGGGGGCAAGCGCCGCGUGCUCGGGGCCCUCAUGUUUGUAAACCUAAAAAAAGCCAUGUGCGGGCAGGCAGCGUGCUCUGUGCUCCGCGCUCCGCGCUCCGCGCUCCGGGCUCCGGGCUCCGGGCUCCGGGCUCCGGGCUCCGCGCUCCGGGAUCCGCGCUCCGGGAUCCGGGCUCCGGGCUCCGGGAUCCGGGAUCCGCGCUUCGACCGGCGGCUGAUCCGCAGGGGAGGCAGCGUGACCCCAGUGUGAGCCCAGAGUGAUCCCAGUGUGGUCCCAGUGUGAUGCCAGUGUGAGCCCGGAGUGAUUCCAGCGUGGUCCCAGUGUGAUCCCAGUGUGAGCCUAGCGUGCUCCCAGUGUGAUUCCAGUGCGAUCCAGAGGGCAGGCAGUGCGAUCCCAGUUGAUCUCAGUAUGAUGAUCACUGUGUGACCUCAGUGUGAUUCCAGUAUGACCCAGAGAAGAGGCAGUGCAAUCCCAGUUGAUCUCAGUGCGAUCCCAGUGCGAUCCCAGUAUGAUUCAGAGGUGAGGCAGUGUGAUCCCCGUGUGAUAUCACUGUGAGCCCACUAUGAUCCCAGUGUGAUCCCAGUGCGAUCCCAGUGCGAUCCCCCCCCCCCCCCCCCCCCCCGCGCUCCGGGAUCCGCGCUCCGGGCUCCGGGAUCCGCGCUCCGGGCUCCGUGCUUCGACCGCCGGCUGAUCCGCAGGGGAGGCAGCGUGACCCCAGUGUGAGCCCAGAGUGAUCCCAGUGUGGUCCCAGUGUGAUGCCAGUGUGAGCCCGGAGUGAUUCCAGCGUGGUCCCAGUGUGAUCCCAGUGUGAGCCUAGCGUGCUCCCAGUGUGAUUCCAGUGCGAUCCAGAGGGCAGGCAGUGCGAUCCCAGUUGAUCUCAGUAUGAUGAUCACUGUGUGACCUCAGUGUGAUUCCAGUAUGACCCAGAGAAGAGGCAGUGCAAUCCCAGUUGAUCUCAGUGCGAUCUCCAGUGCCAUCCCAGUAUGAUUCAGAGGUGAGGCAGUGUGAUCCCCGUGUGAUAUCACUGUGAGCCCACUAUGAUCCCAG